rnacentral:rRNA from 1 species
UAUUGCACAAUGGGGGAAACCCUGAUGCAGCGACGCCGCGUGAGUGAAGAAGUAUUUCGGUAUGUAAAGCUCUAUCAGCAGGGAAGAAAAUGACGGUACCUGAUUAAGAAGCCCCGGCUAACUACGUGCCAGCAGCCGCGGUAAUACGUAGGGGGCAAGCGUUAUCCGGAUUUACUGGGUGUAAAGGGAGCGUAGACGGCAGCACAAGUCUGGAGUGAAAGCCCGGGGCCCAACCCCGGGACUGCUCUUGGAACUGCAUGGCUGGAGUACAGGAGGGGCAGGCGGAAUUCCUAGUGUAGCGGUGAAAUGCGUAGAUAUUAGGAGGAACACCGGUGGCGAAGGCGGCCUGCUGGACUGUGACUGACGUUGAGGCCCGAAGGCGUGGGGAGCAAACAGG